AAACAAGUUAUGCAAAAGAGAUAGAUACGCUUGUAAAAAAAAAAGAAGAGAUAGAUACUACUUUUAUAAUUUUCAAAAAAUAAGUCAUUUAUAAACCAAAUCAAUUUUCAAACAUUUUCCACAACUAAAGAAAUAAAAGAAGGAAAAAAAUGGCAAUCAACAAGUACUAUUAAAAAAUAUAAAUAAAGAGAAAUCCUUUAUUGCUCUAUGGUAACAUUAACUGACAUCAUGUAAACUGUGAAAAUUUCUGCCGAAGGAUAUCCUCAAAUAAAAAAACCAAAAAAACAAAAGAAACAAAAGAAAAACAUUUUUUCUAAGUGCAACUUGCACCUUUAUGGAGGUUUCUCAAAAUGAAUGGGAGAGGCUCCGAAUCAACAAGAGUUUUGGAACAUCUGCAAGGUUUCACUCUAUGUAUCUAUUCCACAAAAGAUGCAAACAAACUUGGCUUCACCAAGACCUUUUUCCGGGUUUAAUAAAUCAA
rnacentral:lncRNA from 1 species